rnacentral:rRNA from 1 species
CCUACGGGAGGCAGCAGUGGGGAAUAUUGCACAAUGGGGGGAACCCUGAUGCAGCGACGCCGCGUGAGUGAAGAAGUAUUUCGGUAUGUAAAGCUCUAUCAGCAGGGAAGAAAAUGACGGUACCUGACUACGAAGCCCCGGCUAACUACGUGCCAGCAGCCGCGGUAAUACGUAGGGGGCAAGCGUGAUCCGGAUUUACUGGGUGUAAAGGGAGCGUAGACGGCAGAGCAAGUCUGAAGUGAAAGCCCUCGGCCCAACUGCGGGACUGCUUUGGAAACUGCCCGGCUAGAGUGCUGGAGAGGUAAGCGGAAGUCCUAGUGGAGCGGUGAAAUGCGUAGAUAUUAGGAGGAACACCAGUGGCGAAGGCGGCUUACUGGACAGUAACUGACGUUGAGGCUCGAAAGCGUGGGGAGCAAACAGGAUUAGAUACCCCAGUAGUC